rnacentral:rRNA from 1 species
UACGUAGGGUGCAAGCGUUGCUCGGAAUCACUGGGCGUAAAGGGUGAGUAGGUGGAUUUUUGGUAAGUCAGAUGUGAAAGCCUUGGGCUUAACCCGAGAAGUGCAUUUGAUACUGCCAGUCUAGAGUUCGGGAGAGGAAGGCGGAAUUCCAGGUGUAGGGGUGAAAUCCGUAGAUAUCUGGAGGAACACCGGUGGCGCAAGCGGCCUUCUGGACCGAUACUGACACUGAAUCACGAAAGCGUGGGGAUCAAACAGG